rnacentral:sRNA from 1 species
GGGGUUUUUAGCAACAUUGGGGCCGGUUGCAGAAACAACCCCUCUCCUGCCUUCCAGACACUGAGGAAAGUAUUCUUGUUCUCUUCAUAUACCAAGGGAAUGGUGGGAAAAGUCUUUGCUAGAGAGCAUGUGGCUGUGUGUUGUCACUUGAUAUUCAGCACAGGCAGCUAGGAUUUAAACCCUCCCUGAUCUUGAGACAGAGAACUUUACCCAAAAGAUGGGACUGAGUUCAGAUUUCAAAUACAUUAAUCACUCAUCAUUACUUAGAUUGAUGAAAGUAUCUUUUCCCUCUGUUAAUAAUUAAAAGGGAAAAAAUUCUUUGUUAAUGCUGUAUUUUUCUGUCCAAACAGGUUGAAACAGUUCCUCAGGCUACAGUGAAGACUGGAUUACAGAAAGGGUCGGCGGACCGGGGAGUGCAGGGCUCUGUCAGAUUCAGUGACAGCUCCGUCUCCGCAGCGAUUGAGGAAACUGUGGACUGAGAUUCCUGUACAAUUUCAUCCCAGAAACUCCAGACUUGUAGUCUCCAUGCAAGAUUUCUUUGUCGGCGGCUCGAUAAACAGUUUCUUUGUUUUCGAUUUUGAUUUCGCCAAUCAUCAUUAUUGGCAUUUUCCUGCCUGGUUUCUUCUUCAAGACUCUGAACAAUUGCUUUAACAGUCAAAUGAUUUUUUUUUUUUCGGUUUGAGCUGGAUGGGUACAGCUUAAAUCAUGGGUCCAGCCUAAAAACCACCAUUUAACUUACACUGAUCAAUUUCAACAUGGACUGUUUUUGGUUUUUUGUUUUUAAAUAAAGCAUCAUUAAUGCACAUCUGCAGGGUUUUGCCAAACAGCCCAAACUGUAUACAUUACAAUCAUUAAAAGUUCUUAUUUUUUUUAAUAUUAGUGCCGUUAUCAUGGAGAACAGCAUGACAGCUGUCUUUGGCAGUCUGUCAUUUUUCUAGCAUUUUCAGAAACUCAUCGGAAAUGGCGGUACCUGUGUUUCCCUUCGAAAGCCUCUCAGUACAGCACUCCUGUUCCUCUGUUAAAACUCCUUGUUAAUCCAGUGAUCUUUUAGGCCAAGGAAAUAUUUUGUGAUGGUGUUCUGGGUCCAUACACCAGCAAUGAAGGAGAUAGAUUUGUGUACUUGUGUUUUUUAAUCAGCAUUAACAUGGGCAGGCACCCUCAUUUAUAGAUGUCAGGAAACAUUCAGUGAAAAACUUGUAGAAUGGGAUGUGAUAACGAGGUUCCAGUAAUCUGAGCAGUCUAACGAGGCCCACCUCCUCCACCACAGAACGUGGCUAUGUUCCAAGUGCUACUCUCACUCAGCCUGUUGCGGAUCUUCAUGGCCUCAGGAGACUUGUUUCUCCAUGGGCUCUUCUGGACUGCACACUUCCACCAUAGCUUGCUGGGCUGAUCUAGAUGUCUGUUUGUUGUAUGGAAAUUUUGGGGGAAAAAAAUCCAAAACACAAACUGUGGGUUGAAAUAUUAACCGUCUCCUUGGUUCCUUGGUAUUCACCGUGCCUGAUCUGCACAUUUCAUCGUGGCUGUUUCUGUAUAGCCUAUACUGCAUUAGCCCAAGAGAUUGUUGCUUUGUAACUUUUUGCAC